GACGAACGCUGGCGGCGUGCUUAACACAUGCAAGUCGAACGAAGAGCGACGGAAGCUUGCUUCUAUCAAUCUUAGUGGCGAACGGGUGGGUAACGCGUAAUCAACCUGCCCUUCAGAGGGGGACAACAGUUGGAAACGACUGCUAAUACCGCAUACGAUCUAAUCUCGGCAUCGAGGAUGGAUGAAAGGUGGCCUCUACAUGUAAGCUAUCACUGAAGGAGGGGAUUGCGUCUGAUUAGCUAGUUGGAGGGGUAACGGCCCACCAAGGCGAUGAUCAGUAGCCGGUCUGAGAGGAUGAACGGCCACAUUGGGACUGAGACACGGCCCAGACUCCUACGGGAGGCAGCAGUGGGGAAUCUUCCGCAAUGGACGAAAGUCUGACGGAGCAACGCCGCGUGAGUGAUGACGGCCUUCGGGUUGUAAAGCUCUGUUAAUCGGGACGAAAGGCCUUCUUGCGAAUAGUGAGAAGGAUUGACGGUACCGGAAUAGAAAGCCACGGCUAACUACGUG
rnacentral:rRNA from 1 species